GGAUUGUGAAAUUAGUAAUUUGUUGGUCUUGUUAAUUGUGUUGAACCACAUUGAUGGCCAUCCUUAUAUAUUACUACCCAUAAUCUGAAUCC
rnacentral:snoRNA from 1 species